AUUUUCUCCUUCUCUACGUAACAUGUCCUUUUGUAACAAUUCCUACUAAAUUGAGGACAGCAAAUCAUCAACUACCAACAAAUAACAGAACACACUAGUUCAUCAGCAAAAAGUUCAUACACACUGCAUCAACAUAUAUAUCUUAGUUAAUAUCCAUGCUUCAACAUGCAAUAUUGUUUUCAAAAGUGAUUGCUGAGGCAUCAACAUGUAACAACUAACUAGUACUUCAAUCAAAGGAUGACUUAUUUGCUAAAAGUACAGGAGUUACAAACUAAUUUAUGCAAUUGAAAUCAGGCCUAAAUUUGAAGGAUUUAAACAAAAUUUAGAUCUUUCAGGGAAAGAAUUUUUUUUCAAAUGUUUAUUUAAGUACCUAGAAUUCAUGAUUUCAUGCUCAAACUAACAGACCUUGCAAGUCUAAUUGGACCAUAAACAAACAUCUAAUUAUCAUAAACUACAUACCUCUUCCUUUUCCUUGAAACUGCCAGAUACAUUAUGUAAAGAAUACGAAUUACUCAUAUUAAACUUCUUAACAAAUAGCAUUUGAUGUGACUAAAAUGCCAAAACAAAGAGUGAAUAAAAAGGAUAAGCAAGCAUUAAGAAUCAAAGUAAAGCACAAAUUGCAGAUACAUUUGUUGUUUGACACCUAAAUAAUUUGCAACAAUGAAGUAUUUUUCACAGUUGAAAUACAAAGAUUGGAAG
rnacentral:misc_RNA from 1 species